rnacentral:misc_RNA from 1 species
GUGUACCCACCUGCUCUCCACAUAACGCUCUUGAUAUAUUUCCAGGCCCAUGAAGAUUGAAAAUAACAACAGGAAAUGCAUUCUCCUCGCAUAAUGUAACAGCCAUUAGGUCCAAAGGGGAAUCUCCUCCGGAAACAAGCUCCCUGAAGGAAAUAUGCUCAGCAACAACAUUAUUAUUUCGGGAGUCACAGACAUAGACACCGUCUACAUUUGUAGCCUUGAGUAUGGCGUCAGCAUGAAUUUCAGAAGCUCUGAGUGCUGCAACUGUAUCCGUAGAGAAGAGUGGAUUCCCUGUGCCAGCUCCAAUACCACCAAAGAUCACAACUCUACCUUUUUCAAGAUGCCGCAUAGCUCGUUGCCUGCUGUAUGGCUCAGUAAGCUCGGGCAUGUUAAAUGCACUUUGCACACGAGUUUGCACACCAACCUUCUCUAAUGCCGACUGCAGCAGUAUGGAGUUCAUCAGAGUUGCCAUCAUUCCAAUUUGAUAGGCAGUACAUCUCUCCAAUCCAGUUGAAGUUACCCAUGUCUCUCCACAAAAGAAAUUGCGUCCACCAACAACUAUUGCCACCUCUAUACCAAGACGACAAGCUAUUGAGAC